rnacentral:rRNA from 1 species
CAGUAGCGUAUAUUAACGUUGUUGCAGUUAAAAGGCUCGUAGUCGAAUUUAUGAUUUUUGUUGGGUGAAACUUUUACCUUGCGCAACUGUAUUUGCCUUUGAAAUCAUCCUUCUGGAAGAAUAUUGAUUCCCUUGAUUGGGCUGUUGAUAGGAUCCAGAUCAUUUACUGUGAGUAAAUCAGAGUGUUCAAAGCAGGCAUUUUGCUUGUAUGCUGUAGCAUGGAAUAAUAAGAUAGGACUUUGGUUUUAUUUUGUUGGCUUCUAGAAUCAGAGUAAUGAUUGAGAGGGAUAGUUGGGGGUGCUAGUAUUUAACGGUCAGCGGUGAAAUGCUUGGACCCGUUAAAGACUAACUUAUGCGAAAGCAUUCACCAAGGAUAUUUUCUUUGA